AUUAAAAUACCGGUUUCCGUAUGAUCACUGGAAUUACGCUAGCUCAAGCCUGACCAGUACGUAGAUCGGUGACCACUUGGGAAUACCAGGUGCUGUAAG